AGGACGAACGCUGGCGGCACGCCUAACACAUGCAAGGUCGAACGGAGAUUUGAGAGCUUGCUCUUAAAUCUUAGUGGCGGACGGGUGAGUAACACGUGAGCAACCUGCCUCUGAGAGAGGGAUAGCUUCUGGAAACGGAUGGUAAUACCUCAUAAUAUUACAUGACCGCAUGAUCGUGUAAUCAAAGAUUUAUCAACUCGAGAGAUGGGCUCGCGUCUGAUUAGCUAGUUGGUGAGGUAACGGCCCACCAAGGCGACGAUCAGUAGCCGGACUGAGAGGUUGAACGGCCACAUUGGGACUGAGACACGGCCCAGACUCCUACGGGAGGCAGCAGUGAGGGAUAUUGCACAAUGGAGGAAACUCUGAAUGCAGCGAUGCCGCGUGGAGGAAGAAGGUUUUCGGAUUGUAAACUCCUGUUUCGAGGGACGAUAAUGACGGUACCUCGGGAGGAAGCUCCGGCUAACUACGUGCCAGCAGCUGC
rnacentral:rRNA from 1 species